AUGCUACUCCCUCCGUUCGGAAUUACUUGUCGUAAAAAUGGAUGUAUCUAGAUGUAUUUUAGUUUUAGAUACAUCCAUUUCUGAGACAAGUAAUUCCGAACGGAGGGAGUACAUU
rnacentral:pre_miRNA from 1 species